GAUUACAAUCCUACCUCCUUGAGCACACCUGAUCUCGGACACUGAGCAAGGGUCGGGCCCGGUUAGUACUCGGAUGCACCGCCUGGGAAUACCAGGUGCUGUGAGCU
ensembl:rRNA 5S_rRNA 5S ribosomal RNA